rnacentral:rRNA from 1 species
AACGAACGCUGGCGGCAGGCUUAACACAUGCAAGUCGAACGCCCCGCAAGGGGAGUGGCAGACGGGUGAGUAACGCGUGGGAACAUACCCUUUCCUGCGGAAUAGCUCUGGGAAACUGGAAUUAAUACCGCAUACGCCCUACGGGGGAAAGAUUUAUCGGGGAAGGAUUGGCCCGCGUUGGAUUAGCUAGUUGGUGGGGUAAAGGCCUACCAAGGCGACGAUCCAUAGCUGGUCUGAGAGGAUGAUCAGCCACAUUGGGACUGAGACACGGCCCAAACUCCUACGGGAGGCAGCAGUGGGGAAUAUUGGACAAUGGGCGCAAGCCUGAUCCAGCCAUGCCGCGUGAGUGAUGAAGGCCUUAGGGUUGUAAAGCUCUUUCACCGAUGAAGAUAAUGACGGUAGUCGGAGAAGAAGCCCCGGCCAACUUCGUGCCAGCCGCCGCAGUAAGAC